CAUAUAUUCCCUUCGUCACAAAAUUCUUGUCUUAGAAUCGUCUAGAUACGGAUGUAUCGAUACAUCUGUAUCUAGACAAAUCUAAGACAAGAAUUUUUGGACGGAGGGAGCACGUC
rfam:Triticum aestivum genome assembly, contig: Triticum_aestivum_CS42_TGACv1_scaffold_129864_2BL